CCUACGGGGGGCUGCAGUGGGGAAUAUUGGACAAUGGGGGAACCCUGAUCCAGCCAUGCCGCGUGUGUGAAGAAGGCCCUCGGGUUGUAAAGCACUUUCAGUGAGGAAGAACGCCUGGUGGUUAAUACCCAUCAGGAAAGACAUCACUCACAGAAGAAGCACCGGCUAACUCCGUGCCAGCAGCCGCGGUAAUACGGAGGGUGCGAGCGUUAAUCGGAAUUACUGGGCGUAAAGCGCGCGUAGGUGGCUUGAUAAGCCGGUUGUGAAAGCCCCGGGCUCAACCUGGGAACGGCAUCCGGAACUGUCAAGCUAGAGUGCAGGAGAGGAAGGUAGAAUUCCCGGUGUAGCGGUGAAAUGCGUAGAGAUCGGGAGGAAUACCAGUGGCGAAGGCGGCCUUCUGGACUGACACUGACACUGAGGUGCGAAAGCGUGGGUAGCAAACAGGAUUAGAUACCCCAGUAGUC
rnacentral:rRNA from 1 species